rnacentral:rRNA from 1 species
CGGACGGGUGAGUAAUGUCUGGGAAACUGCCCGAUGGAGGGGGAUAACUACUGGAAACGGUAGCUAAUACCGCAUAACGUCGCAAGACCAAAGAGGGGGACCUUCGGGCCUCUUGCCAUCGGAUGUGCCCAGAUGGGAUUAGCUAGUAGGUGGGGUAACGGCUCACCUAGGCGACGAUCCCCAGCUCGGUUGAGAGGAUGACCAGCCACACUGGAACCGAGACACGGGUCCGAG